GCCGGAGUGGCGGAAUUGGCAGACGCAUCGGACUUAAAAUCCGGUGGGCCUUUGUGCCCGUGUCAGUUCGAGUCUGACCUCCGGCACCA
rnacentral:tRNA from 1 species